UUCAGUAGCAAGCCAUGCUUAUGAUUGUGCCAGAGCACAUUUUGAACAACACCAUGGGAAUUUCGGAUUUUACACAGGUGGUUGGAUGUUACACUCUGGAAAUGGAAGGAAGGCAAAACAGAAAGUCGAUGUGCUGCACCUUCAGCUGCAAAAUCUGCUGUAUGAAGUCAUGCAUCUUCAGAAGGAGAUCAGCAAGUGUCUGGAGUUUAACAUGUCUUUAUCCUGUCUUCCUUCUUUCACCCCAACUGGUCACAGCAGAUGGCCGCCCCUCCCUGAGCCUGGUUCUGCCGGAGGUUUCUUCCUGUUAAAAGGGAGUUUUUCCUUCCCACUGUCGCCAAAGUGCUUGUUCGUAGGGGGUCAUAUGAUUGUUG
ensembl:lncRNA